AAAAGAGAUUCCACCUGAACAUUAGGAGGAACUUCCUGACAAAAACAGCGAGAAGACAAGCACCACGUGCUGAGAGAUGGUCAACUGUUUAAUCAGUAUUUCUGAAUAUGUGGUGCCUUCAAGUCUUUUUGGACUUGUGGCGAGCUUAAGGUGAACAUAUCAUGGGGUUUUCUUGGAAAGAUUUGUUCAGAGGAGGUCAGCCGUAAGAGGUACAUAUUUUUAAAUGAUUGGUAUUAUAGCAGGUGAUUGACCCCCAGGUCCUAGCUCUUUAUAAAUAUAUACCUUUACUUCUUAUUAGUCUUAUUAGUUUACUGGAGACCAGUGCAGAGAUUUCCAAGCAAGUAUAUUCCCACUCCUCCUGCCAGCAUCUGGGCAGCAACCUUCUGGAGCAGCUGCAGUUUCCAGACAGCCCUGAAAGUAAGACCCACACAAAGUGCAGUUCAUCUGGCAAAUGUGGAGUUCUAGAGGACUGAAAAGCAGCUUCUGCAACACUGUUGAUUUAUUCCUAGGGAAAUUGAGCAAGUAUUGGUUGUCAUGCAAUCAGGUAACAAGCAACACCCGAUAAAAUUCCCUCUUUCUCAGAACCGUUAAAGGUACAUGAGUUGUUCCUAGUUUUCAUUGUGGCAACUUUAAUGGUUAACAAACAGGUCGCUUUCAGUAGUUCAGAUUGGUACAAAUAGCAGCUCUCUUUCCAGUACAAAUUGCAAAUACAAGGCUCUAAUCUGGAUUAGGAUUAUAGUGAUGUUGGGCAUAUGCACCUGCUGUUUACAUUCAAAUAAUAAUCCAAUUGGUAAUCACAUAAAAGGCAUCUUUUUGGCCCAGGAUAAGACUGAAAAAAGCUACAAGUAAUUAUUUCAAUGUUAAUUACUGUUGAUGCAACAGAAUAUCAGGCAAACAAGAACUAUGCAACAUACAGCGCUAAAAGACUCCUAUUUAUUGCUUAAAAUGAAUUCAGUUUAGUGGGACUUUAAUUUUUAUUGGAUAUUAAACCAAAAACAGAUUUGGGAGAAAGUGUAUUAGGGAUGGACAUUUGGGUACCAUUAAGAUAUAAAUAGAGCCAAAGUAAUAUCCACAGCUUGAAAAUAUUCCAAAAAACAAAAUUUGAUUUUGUUAUUUUAUAUAGUUGUCCUUUUUUGCAGUGAUCUGUUUUGGACGCCUCUGCAGAUAAGAAAAAACGCAGGACCUCAAGUCUCGUUGUCCCCAAUUGCCUGAGAAAUGUGUGUGUGGCCACUAGCAGAGCUGCAUGCACAUGCCUCUAUUGAAAACAGUGGGGCUUGCCAUCCACUGAUACUCAGCUCCAUGGAUGGCAAGCCUUCAGAAGGCAAGAUCCCACUGUAUAAAGGACACUGUUUUACUGUGACAUUGUAUUUAAUGGAAUUUGAGCAUCCACAGAUAUUGGUAUCCAUGGGUGGGGGGGUCCUAGAACCCAGCCCCAAUAGAUACCAAGGGACCACUGUAGUGACAUGCUGAAAUUGUUGCAAAAUUAGAAACAAGAAGAGCAGAGAUAAAGUAAGGUGGGGUGGAUGGAAACAGGACCAGCAACGGAAAAGCAAGGCAAAGGGGGUAGAGAAAAGGUGUUGAUAUUGAGCAUGGUUGUCUUCCUACCACAGUAGACAGUAGGAAAAACCUAAAUGCCCUUCAUGGAACGAUUUUUUUAUCUGGACAUCUAAUUUAAAAAAUAUCAAUGUCUAAGGCAAAUUAUGAAAAACAAUAGACUUUGUGGAACCUUAAAUGCUAAUACAGUAAUUGUAUUUGUAACUAGAAUGGUGCAAAGGACCCAAAAUAUGUCAUAUGUGCCACAAUGCCCCCUAGAGGGCAUUUGGAGACAAGAAAAUUAUAAAUUUAAGCCCUGGGGGCUCCUAAGGGCUACACUGUGUUUACUACCUCUUGGUCCAAUGGAACAAAGGCAUACAGUGGCAGAAUGGAAGAGAGGACUGAGUUGCAGAAGUACUUUAUUUCUGUCAACAUUGUUACUUGUGGGUUUGAGUAUGACACUUAGCUACCUUAGGAGAAGUGAAGAAGGUCACAGCAAAAAUAUCUUAGACUUUUGCUGUGAUUUAAAAGGAAUGGUAGUGUAGUGGGUGCAGGCAGAAUAACCAAGUGCUGCUGGGGUGUAUUUUACACCAUCUGUCUUUCUUUGGCCAUAUCCCAGGAUACCUUGGAAACAGCUGUCCCUCAGGCGCCAUCUGCAACAUGAAGAUAAUAAUAUUGACUAACUGGUGUAUGGAUAGUUAAGAUGUUAUAUCAGAAGCACUUCGAAUACUAAAUGCAUAAUAAAUGCACAUUUCAAUAUAUGUAUCCAAGUUUCUCAAAUGACAUGGCUGAUUCUUAUAUGUGGACACAUGUUUUACCCUCACAACCAUCUUCUUGAGGUUAUUUUGGCUGAGAAAUAGCAGCAGCCAAUAUCAUCUAGUGAGCUUCACAACUGCAAUUAAACCUUUGAUCCUUCUGGUUCUUGUCCAUCAACUCUGACCACUUCAGUAUGCUAUUUCUGUCUAUAAGUGCACCAUCAUAUUGUUGUUAUGAAAGGAUAGUUAGUAUCUCAUUGAAGGGAAAGCAAUUAUCUAUAUCGUCCUGUUUGAGCAGGAUGAGCACGGAGUAGUAUCCCUUUUAAUAUAUUGUUUCAAACGGCUUCUUUUACAAUUCAUAUGCAGUAUCUUGCAGGCAUGAACUGCAAAUGGGCAAAGGGUCCUGUGUAAACCUUGCAGCUGUGGAACAACAGAACAGUUCCUCUUAUGAAUUCGUAACUGGCUCAAAAAUGGGAAGUUGCAAGUAGGAAAUAUAUGGAGCAUUCUUCCAGCAGAAGGAGAAGACACGGAUGUGAAACCCCUGGUUGCUAAUUCCACACACUGGAGUAAUUUGUUGUUUUUCCAUGAGGGAAAGGUACUCUGAAUGUUGAGCGUACAUGACUAUAAUGUCAAGUUAC